AGUGAACGUUGGCGGCGUGGAUUAGGCAUGCAAGUCGAGCGAGAACCGUAGCAAUACGGGGACAGCGGCGAAAGGGACAGUAAUGUGUAGGUACCUACCUCCGGGUUCGGGAUAGCUGCGGGAAACUGCAGGUAAUACCGAAUAACGUCUCCGGACCAAAGGUGUGAUUCAACCUGGAGAGGGGCGUGCAUCCUAUUAGCUUGUUGGCGGGGUAACGGCCCACCAAGGCGACGAUGGAUAGCGGGUGUGAGAGAACGACCCGCGCCAUUGGGACUGAGACACUGCCCAGACACCUACGGGUGGCUGCAGUCGUGAAUCUUCGGCAAUGGGCGCAAGCCUGACCGAGCGACGCCGCGUGCGGGAUGAAGGCCUUCGGGUUGUAAACCGCUGUCGUAGAGGAGGAAACGCAGGGGGGUUCUCCCCUCUGUUUGACCUAUUCUAGGAGGAAGUACGGGCUAAGUUCGUGCCAGCCGCCGCAGUAA
rnacentral:rRNA from 1 species